UCGAGUUUUCGGGUUUUGAAGUU
rnacentral:siRNA from 1 species